rnacentral:lncRNA from 1 species
UAGAACACACAAUAUCAAUCACAUUUUUACUUAUAUCACAUCGGAUUCACAUCAAAUUUUAUAUGAGAUUUCACACUAGAUUUGCACAUUCACACAUACACAAUAACACAGUCACAUUAUCACAUUUUUUAAUUUUCACAUUUACAUAUUUUCAAAUAUUCUCAUUUCACACUUAUACAUAAACAAAUUUCAAAGACACAUU